rnacentral:lncRNA from 1 species
CACCAUUUCCACAAACCUACCAUUUAUCAUUCUAACACUAGCAGUAGCCUCAGUCCAGCCUCCCACACUCAGAGAGAGAGAGAGAGAGAAGAGAGAGAGAGAAUGGCCACCACAGCAGCCCUCUCCAGCGCCAUGGUCAGCACAUCGUUUACUCGCCGGGUGCCGGCGACAAGCCUACGGGCACUUCCCAGAGUGGGGGAGGCUCUUCUUGGCUUGAAAGCCAGUCGAGGAGGACGUGUUAAAGCAGUUGCAC